GCGCUCGUAGCUCAAUUGGACAGAGCUGUGGACUUCGGAUCCAAAGGCUGGGGGUUCGACUCCCUCCGAGCGCG
rnacentral:tRNA from 1 species